rnacentral:sRNA from 1 species
AUUAAGCCACGUUAGGGAUGGAAGCGGCAUCCUUUUUAAAUUGUUGCUUGAUAGACUAACAAGCAAAAUUUAAAAAGAUAUAGCGUACAGCCCGUCUCGUU